rnacentral:tRNA from 1 species
UCCCAGGUGGUCUAGUGGUUAGGAUUCGUGGCUCUCACCCACGCGGCCCUGGUUCGAUUCCUGGUCUGGGAA